AGAGUUUGAUCCUGGCUCAGGAUGAACGCUGGCGGCGUGCUUAACACAUGCAAGUCGAACGGACUCAUAUUGAAACCUAGUGAUUUAUGAGUUAGUGGCGGACGGGUGAGUAACGCGUGGAUAACCUACCGUAUACCGGGGGAUAACACUUAGAAAUAGGUGCUAAUACCGCAUAAGCGCACGGCUCCGCAUGGGGCAGUGUGAAAAACUCCGGUGGUAUACGAUGGAUCCGCGUCUGAUUAGCUAGUUGGCGGGGUAACGGCCCACCAAGGCAGCGAUCAGUAGCCGGCCUGAGAGGGUGGACGGCCACAUUGGGACUGAGACACGGCCCAAACUCCUACGGGAGGCGGCAGUGGGGAAUAUUGCACAAUGGGGGAAACCCUGAUGCAGCGACGCCGCGUGAGUGAAGAAGUAUCUCGGUACGUAAAGCUCUAUCAGCAGGGAAGAAAAUGACGGUACCUGACUAAGAAGCCCCGGCUAACUACGUGCCAGCAGCCGCGGUAAUACGUAGGGGGCAAGCGUUAUCCGGAUUUACUGGGUGUAAAGGGAGCGUAGACGGCAGCACAAGUCUGGAGUGAAAUCCCGGGGCUUAACCCCGGAACUGCUUUGGAAACUGUGCGGCUGGAGUGCAGGAGGGGUAAGCGGAAUUCCUAGUGUAGCGGUGAAAUGCGUAGAUAUUAGGAGGAACACCGGUGGCGAAGGCGGCUUACUGGACUGUAACUGACGCUCAUGCACGAAAGCGUGGGUAUCGAACAGGAUUAGAUACCCUGGUAGUCCACGCAGUAAACGAUGAAUACUCGCUGUCCGGGGAGAUUGGUCUCUGGGCGGCCAAGCGAAAGCGUUAAGUAUUCCACCUGGGGAGUACGCCGGCAACGGUGAAACUCAAAGGAAUUGACGGGGGCCCGCACAAGCGGAGGAACAUGUGGUUUAAUUCGAUGAUACGCGAGGAACCUUACCCGGGCUCAAACGCAGGAGGGAUGUUUUUGAAAGGAGGCAGCUCUUCGGAGCCUCCUGCGAGGUGCUGCAUGGUUGUCGUCAGCUCGUGCCGUGAGGUGUCGGCUUAAGUGCCAUAACGAGCGCAACCCCCACCGACAGUUGCCAUCAGGUCAGGCUGGGCACUCUGUCGGGACUGCCGGCGCAAGCUGUGAGGAAGGCGGGGAUGACGUCAAAUCAGCACGGCCCUUACGUCCGGGGCGACACACGUGUUACAAUGGCAGGCACAGCGGGAAGCCACCUGGCGACAGGGAGCGGAACCCGAAAUCCUGUCUCAGUUCAGAUUGGAGUCUGCAACCCGACUCCAUGAAGCUGGAUUCGCUAGUAAUCGCGCAUCAGCCACGGCGCGGUGAAUACGUUAAGGGGCCUUGCACUCACCGCCCGUCA
rnacentral:rRNA from 1 species